UACGUAGGGUGCAAGCGUUGUCCGGAAUUAUUGGGCGUAAAGAGCUCGUAGGCGGUCUGUCGCGUCGGCUGUGAAAUCCCGGAGCUCAACUCCGGGUCUGCAGUCGAUACGGGCAAACUGGAGUACUGCAGGGGAGACUGGAAAUUCCUGGUGUAGCGGUGAAAUGCGCAGAUAUCAGGAGGAACACCGGUGGCGAAGGCGGGUCUCUGGGCCAUUACUGACGCUGAGGAGCGAAAGCGUGGGGAGCGAACAGG
rnacentral:rRNA from 1 species